rnacentral:rRNA from 1 species
GGGUUGUGAGGUUAAGCGACUAAGCGUACACGGUGGAUGCCCUGGCAGUCAGAGGCGAUGAAGGACGUGCUAAUCUGCGAUAAGCGCCGGUAAGGUGAUAUGAACCGUUAUAACCGGCGAUUUCCGAAUGGGGAAACCCAGUGUGACUCGUCACACUAUCAUUAACUGAAUCCAUAGGUUAAUGAGGCGAACCGGGGGAACUGAAACAUCUAAGUACCCCGAGGAAAAGAAAUCAACCGAGAUUCCCCCAGUAGCGGCGAGCGAACGGGGAGGAGCCCAGAGCCUGAAUCAGCAUGUGUGUUAGUGGAAGCGUCUGGAAAGGCGCGCGAUACAGGGUGACAGCCCCGUACACAAAAGCGCAUGUGCUGUGAGCUCGAUGAGUAGGGCGGGACACGUGGUAUCCUGUCUGAAUAUGGGGGGACCAUCCUCCAAGGCUAAAUACUCCUGACUGACCGAUAGUGAACCAGUACCGUGAGGGAAAGGCGAAAAGAACCCCGGCGAGGGGAGUGAAAAAGAACCUGAAACCGUGUACGUACAAGCAGUGGGAGCACAGGUUUACCUGUGUGACUGCGUACCUUUUGUAUAAUGGGUCAGCGACUUAUAUUCUGUAGCAAGGUUAACCGAAUAGGGGAGCCGGAGGGAAACCGAGUCUUAAUUGGGCGUUAAGUUGCAGGGUAUAGACCCGAAACCCGGUGAUCUAGCCAUGGGCAGGUUGAAGGUUGGGUAACACUAACUGGAGGACCGAACCGACUAAUGUUGAAAAAUUAGCGGAUGACCUGUGGCUGGGGGUGAAAGGCCAAUCAAACCGGGAGAUAGCUGGUUCUCCCCGAAAGCUAUUUAGGUAGCGCCUCGUGAAUUCAUCUCCGGGGGUAGAGCACUGUUUCGGCUAGGGGGCCAUCCCGGCUUACCAACCCGAUGCAAACUGCGAAUACCGGAGAAUGUUAUCACGGGAGACACACGGCGGGUGCUAACGUCCGUCGUGAAGAGGGAAACAACCCAGACCGCCAGCUAAGGUCCCAAAGUCAUGGUUAAGUGGGAAACGAUGUGGGAAGGCCCAGACAGCCAGGAUGUUGGCUUAGAAGCAGCCAUCAUUUAAAGAAAGCGUAAUAGCUCACUGGUCGAGUCGGCCUGCGCGGAAGAUGUAACGGGGCUAAACCAUGCACCGAAGCUGCGGCAGCGACACUGUGUGUUGUUGGGUAGGGGAGCGUUCUGUAAGCCUGUGAAGGUGGCCUGUGAGGGUUGCUGGAGGUAUCAGAAGUGCGAAUGCUGACAUAAGUAACGAUAAAGCGGGUGAAAAGCCCGCUCGCCGGAAGACCAAGGGUUCCUGUCCAACGUUAAUCGGGGCAGGGUGAGUCGACCCCUAAGGCGAGGCCGAAAGGCGUAGUCGAUGGGAAACGGGUUAAUAUUCCCGUACUUGGUGUUACUGCGAAGGGGGGACGGAGAAGGCUAUGUUGGCCGGGCGACGGUUGUCCCGGUUUAAGCGUGUAGGUGUGUGUUCCAGGUAAAUCCGGUUCACUUUAACACUGAGGCGUGACGACGAGGCACUACGGUGCUGAAGCAACAAAUGCCCUGCUUCCAGGAAAAGCCUCUAAGCAUCAGGUAACAUCAAAUCGUACCCCAAACCGACACAGGUGGUCAGGUAGAGAAUACCAAGGCGCUUGAGAGAACUCGGGUGAAGGAACUAGGCAAAAUGGUGCCGUAACUUCGGGAGAAGGCACGCUGACACGUAGGUGAAGUGAUUUACUCACGGAGCUGAAGUCAGUCGAAGAUACCAGCUGGCUGCAACUGUUUAUUAAAAACACAGCACUGUGCAAACACGAAAGUGGACGUAUACGGUGUGACGCCUGCCCGGUGCCGGAAGGUUAAUUGAUGGGGUCAGCGCAAGCGAAGCUCCUGAUCGAAGCCCCGGUAAACGGCGGCCGUAACUAUAACGGUCCUAAGGUAGCGAAAUUCCUUGUCGGGUAAGUUCCGACCUGCACGAAUGGCGUAAUGAUGGCCAGGCUGUCUCCACCCGAGACUCAGUGAAAUUGAACUCGCUGUGAAGAUGCAGUGUACCCGCGGCAAGACGGAAAGACCCCGUGAACCUUUACUAUAGCUUGACACUGAACAUUGAGCCUUGAUGUGUAGGAUAGGUGGGAGGCUUUGAAGCGUGGACGCCAGUCUGCGUGGAGCCGACCUUGAAAUACCACCCUUUAAUGUUUGAUGUUCUAACGUGGACCCGUAAUCCGGGUUGCGGACAGUGUCUGGUGGGUAGUUUGACUGGGGCGGUCUCCUCCUAAAGAGUAACGGAGGAGCACGAAGGUUGGCUAAUCCUGGUCGGACAUCAGGAGGUUAGUGCAAUGGCAUAAGCCAGCUUGACUGCGAGCGUGACGGCGCGAGCAGGUGCGAAAGCAGGUCAUAGUGAUCCGGUGGUUCUGAAUGGAAGGGCCAUCGCUCAACGGAUAAAAGGUACUCCGGGGAUAACAGGCUGAUACCGCCCAAGAGUUCAUAUCGACGGCGGUGUUUGGCACCUCGAUGUCGGCUCAUCACAUCCUGGGGCUGAAGUAGGUCCCAAGGGUAUGGCUGUUCGCCAUUUAAAGUGGUACGCGAGCUGGGUUUAGAACGUCGUGAGACAGUUCGGUCCCUAUCUGCCGUGGGCGCUGGAGAACUGAGGGGGGCUGCUCCUAGUACGAGAGGACCGGAGUGGACGCAUCACUGGUGUUCGGGUUGUCAUGCCAAUGGCACUGCCCGGUAGCUAAAUGCGGAAGAGAUAAGUGCUGAAAGCAUCUAAGCACGAAACUUGCCCCGAGAUGAGUUCUCCCUGAGACUUAAAGUCUCCUGAAGGAACGUUGAAGACGACGACGUUGAUAGGCCGGGUGUGUAAGCGCAGCGAUGCGUUGAGCUAACCGGUACUAAUGAACCGUGAGGCUUAACCUUACAACGCCGAAG